GGGUUGUGAGGUUAAGCGACUAAGCGUACACGGUGGAUGCCCUGGCAGUCAGAGGCGAUGAAGGACGUGCUAAUCUGCGAAAAGCGUCGGUAAGGUGAUAUGAACCGUUAUAACCGGCGAUGUCCGAAUGGGGAAACCCAGUGUGAUUCGUCACACUAUCGUUAACUAAAUACAUAGGUUAACGAGGCGAACCGGGGGAACUGAAACAUCUAAGUACCCCGAGGAAAAGAAAUCAACCGAGAUUCCCCCAGUAGCGGCGAGCGAACGGGGAGCAGCCCAGAGUCUGAAUCAGCUUGUGUGUUAGUGGAACGGUCUGGAAAGUCCGACGGUACAGGGUGAUAGUCCCGUACACCAAAAUGCACAGGCUGUGAACUCGAAGAGUAGGGCGGGACACGUGGUAUCCUGUCUGAAUAUGGGGGGACCAUCCUCCAAGGCUAAAUACUCCUGACUGACCGAUAGUGAACCAGUACCGUGAGGGAAAGGCGAAAAGAACCCCGGCGAGGGGAGUGAAAAAGAACCUGAAACCGUGUACGUACAAGCAGUGGGAGCACCUUCGGGUGUGACUGCGUACCUUUUGUAUAAUGGGUCAGCGACUUAUAUUCUGUAGCAAGGUUAACCGUAUAGGGGAGCCGCAGGGAAACCGAGUCUUAACUGGGCGUUAAGUUGCAGGGUAUAGACCCGAAACCCGGUGAUCUAGCCAUGGGCAGGUUGAAGGUUGGGUAACACUAACUGGAGGACCGAACCGACUAAUGUUGAAAAAUUAGCGGAUGACUUGUGGCUGGGGGUGAAAGGCCAAUCAAACCGGGAGAUAGCUGGUUCUCCCCGAAAGCUAUUUAGGUAGCGCCUCGUGAACUCAUCUUCGGGGGUAGAGCACUGUUUCGGCUAGGGGGUCAUCCCGACUUACCAACCCGAUGCAAACUACGAAUACCGAAGAAUGUUAUCACGGGAGACACACGGCGGGUGCUAACGUCCGUCGUGAAGAGGGAAACAACCCAGACCGCCAGCUAAGGUCCCAAAGUCAUGGUUAAGUGGGAAACGAUGUGGGAAGGCACAGACAGCCGGAUGUUGGCUUAGAAGCAGCCAUCAUUUAAAGAAAGCGUAAUAGCUCACUGGUCGAGUCGGCCUGCGCGGAAGAUGUAACGGGGCUAAACCAUGCACCGAAGCUGCGGCAGCGACGCUUAUGCGUUGUUGGGUAGGGGAGCGUUCUGUAAGCCUGCGAAGGUGACCUGUGAGGGUUGCUGGAGGUAUCAGAAGUGCGAAUGCUGACAUAAGUAACGAUAAAGCGGGUGAAAAGCCCGCUCGCCGGAAGACCAAGGGUUCCUGUCCAACGUUAAUCGGGGCAGGGUGAGUCGACCCUAAGGCGAGGCCGAAAGGCGUAGUCGAUGGGAAACAGGUUAAUAUUCCUGUACUUGGUGUUACUGCGAAGGGGACGGAGAAGGCUAUGUUAGCCGGGCGACGGUUGUCCCGGUUUAAGCAUGUAGGCUGGUUAUCCAGGCAAAUCCGGAUAAUCAAGGCUGAGGUGUGAUGACGAGGCACUACGGUGCUGAAGUAACAAAUGCCCUGCUUCCAGGAAAAGCCUCUAAGCAUCAGGUAACAUCAAAUCGUACCCCAAACCGACACAGGUGGUCAGGUAGAGAAUACCAAGGCGCUUGAGAGAACUCGGGUGAAGGAACUAGGCAAAAUGGUGCCGUAACUUCGGGAGAAGGCACGCUGGUGUGUAGGUGAAGUCCCUGCGGAUGGAGCUGAGACCAGUCGAAGAUACCAGCUGGCUGCAACUGUUUAUUAAAAACACAGCACUGUGCAAACACGAAAGUGGACGUAUACGGUGUGACGCCUGCCCGGUGCCGGAAGGUUAAUUGAUGGGGUUAUCCGUAAGGAGAAGCUCUUGAUCGAAGCCCGGUAAACGGCGGCCGUAACUAUAACGGUCCUAAGGUAGCGAAAUUCCUUGUCGGGUAAGUUCCGACCUGCACGAAUGGCGUAAUGAUGGCCAGGCUGUCUCCACCCGAGACUCAGUGAAAUUGAACUCGCUGUGAAGAUGCAGUGUACCCGCGGCAAGACGGAAAGACCCCGUGAACCUUUACUAUAGCUUGACACUGAACAUUGAGCCUUGAUGUGUAGGAUAGGUGGGAGGCUUUGAAGCGUGGACGCCAGUCUGCGUGGAGCCAACCUUGAAAUACCACCCUUUAAUGUUUGAUGUUCUAACGUUGGCCCCUUAUCGGGGUUGCGGACAGUGUCUGGUGGGUAGUUUGACUGGGGCGGUCUCCUCCCAAAGCGUAACGGAGGAGCACGAAGGUUAGCUAAUCCUGGUCGGACAUCAGGAGGUUAGUGCAAUGGCAUAAGCUAGCUUGACUGCGAGCGUGACGGCGCGAGCAGGUGCGAAAGCAGGUCAUAGUGAUCCGGUGGUUCUGAAUGGAAGGGCCAUCGCUCAACGGAUAAAAGGUACUCCGGGGAUAACAGGCUGAUACCGCCCAAGAGUUCAUAUCGACGGCGGUGUUUGGCACCUCGAUGUCGGCUCAUCACAUCCUGGGGCUGAAGUAGGUCCCAAGGGUAUGGCUGUUCGCCAUUUAAAGUGGUACGCGAGCUGGGUUUAGAACGUCGUGAGACAGUUCGGUCCCUAUCUGCCGUGGGCGCUGGAGAAUUGAGGGGGGGGCUGCUCCUAGUACGAGAGGACCGGAGUGGACGCAUCACUGGUGUUCGGGUUGUCAUGCCAAUGGCACUGCCCGGUAGCUAAAUGCGGAAGAGAUAAGUGCUGAAAGCAUCUAAGCACGAAACUUGCCCCGAGAUGAGUUCUCCCUGAGACUUUAAGUCUCCUGAAGGAACGUUGAAGACGACGACGUUGAUAGGCCGGGUGUGUAAGCGCAGCGAUGCGUUGAGCUAACCGGUACUAAUGAACCGUGAGGCUUAACCUUACAACGCCGAAG
rnacentral:rRNA from 1 species